AAUGAACGUUGGCGGCGUGGAUUAGGCAUGCAAGUCGAGCGAGAACCGGAGCAAUCCGGGGAAAGCGGCAAACGGGGUAGUAAUGCAUCGGUACGUGCCCUCAGGUCGGGGAUAGCCAGGGGAAACCCUGAUUAAUACCCGAUAAUCUCGAGAGAGCAAAGGUUUACUGCCGGAGGAGCGGCCGAUGUGGCAUCAGGUAGUUGGCGGGGUAACGGCCCACCAAGCCUUAGACGCCUAGGGGGCGUGAGAGCGCGACCCCCACCACUGGGACUGAGAUACUGCCCAGACACCUACGGGUGGCUGCAGUCGAGAAUCUUCCGCAAUGGGCGAAAGCCUGACGGAGCGACGCCGCGUGCGGGAUGAAGGCCCUUGGGUUGUAAACCGCUGUCAGGGGGGAUGAAAGCGCAAGCUUGACAGAGCCCCAGAGGAAGCACGGGCUAAGUUCGUGCCAGCAGCCGCGGUAAGACGAACUGUGCGAACGUUAUUCGGAAUCACUGGGCUUACAGGGUGC
rnacentral:rRNA from 1 species